rnacentral:rRNA from 1 species
CUACGGGGUGCUCCAGUGAGGAAUAUUGCACAAUGGGGGAAACCCUGAUGCAGCAACGCCGCGUGGAGGAUGACGCAUUUCGGUGUGUAAACUCCUUUUAUCAGAGAAGAAAAUGACGGUAUCUGAUGAAUAAGCUCCGGCUAACUCCGUGCCAGCAGCCGCGGUAAUACGGAGGGAGCAAGCGUUAUUCGGAAUCACUGGGCGUAAAGGACGCGUAGGCGGGUUUUUAAGUCAGGUGUGAAAUCCUAUGGCUCAACCAUAGAACUGCACUUGAAACUGGGGACCUAGCGUAUGGAAGGGGCAGGGGGAAUUAGUGGUGUAGGGGUAAAAUCCGUAGAUAUCACUAGGAAUACCGAAAGCGAAGGCGACCUGCUGGGACAUUACUGACGCUGAGGCGUGAAAGCGUGGGGAGCAAACAGGAUUAGAUACCCCAGUAGUC